rnacentral:rRNA from 1 species
ACAAGGUUUCCGUAGGUGAACCUGCGGAAGGAUCAUUAUUGAAUACACACAGGAUUGUUGCUGGCUAGAUUCAUUUCUAGCAUCGUGCACAUCUAUCUUCCACACACACACUUGUGAACUUAUUGUAGAUCGCAAGAUCUAUGUCUUUAAUUCAUCACAUAUCCAUCGUAUGUCUACAGAAUGUUACAAAUAUAAUACAACUUUCAGCAAUGGAUCUCUUGGUUCUCGCAUCGAUGAAGAACGCAGCGAAUUGCGAUACGUAAUGUGAAUUGCAGAUUUUCAGUGAAUCAUCGAAUCUUUGAACGCACCUUGCGCCCCUUGGUAUUCCGAGGGGCAUGCCUGUUUGAGUGUCAUUUAAUUAUCAACCAAUUUAGUCUUUGAUUAGACUUUUUUGGAUUGGAGUUGGGAAUUGCUGGUCUUAACAAAGGAUCAGCUGUCCUUAAAUGCAGUAGCAAGUGAAAGUGAUUUUACGUGGCACGGCCUUUGACGUGAUAAUGAUCGUUGUGGGCUGGAAGCGUUUAAUUAAGCUAGUAGUUUGCUUUAAUUAUAUAACGAGUGAAUUUCUAUGUGCAUACGGCUGGAAAGCAUUAGUAAUGGAAGCUUGAGCGGAAAGUAAGCUAUGUUGUAAAAGGCAUAGUAAAUGUGGAAGCUUGAGUGAAAGUGAGAAUGUGUAGUAGGCUGGAAGGCAUAGCAUUGAAGCUAGUUAAACAAGGAAUUGAAAAAUAACCUGUGGAAUAUUUCUAUGUGCAUAGCAUAGUUAUUGAGAAACUAGUGAAAAAGUAAAUUCCGACUUGAAAGUUGACCUCAAAUCAGGUAGGACUACCCGC